AUGAGGCUGAUGUGUUUCUUUAUUACCAAGCCUUCACUCUCAUUGCUUUGUCUUUUCUCCCCCUCUCCUCCCCCUCUCUCUCCUCCAGUGGGUGUGGUGCAGCCCACCCUGACCGUCCUCCCCCCCUCCAGAGAGGAGCUGAAGCAGGGCAGUGCCACACUGGUGUGUCUGGCCAGCGGGGGCUUCCCCUCAGCCUGGACGCUGGGCUGGAAGGUGGGGUGCAGCAGCAGCUCCUCAGGGGCGUCACACAGCCUGGAGGUCCUGGGGAGGGACGGCCACUACAGCUGGAGCAGCACCCUGAGCCUCCUUGCAGACCAGUGGAGGAAGGCGGGCUCAGUGAGCUGUGAGGCCAGUCUGAGUGGACAGAGGCCUGUCACUCAAAGCCUGGAGCCUGACCGCUGCUCAGAGUAGAGCUUCAGCAACACUUCCUGUCUGCAAAUGAUGCCGCUUCUUUGACAGAGAUCUGGAUGAAGCUCCAGAUCUCCUCUGUUCACAUGUUUCUGCAUGUUUCACAGCUCUCUACUCAGUGUUUUACUCUGCAUGUUGCUUUCUAAUACUCAUCUUCUGCAUGUUCUUCUUUAUGUUCAUUAAAUGAUUUUCACUCAAAGAGAAACUAUUCAUUCAUCAGAAAUGUGGCAUGAACAUUAAACCAUCAUUAAAUAAAACUGUGGAUUAUAAUAAA